rnacentral:lncRNA from 1 species
AUGUGGGCGACCUGGCCAGGGGCGCCACGUGGCUCGGUUCCCAUGGGGGAGGGGGAGGAGCGGCGGGACUGUCCCCGCCGCCCCCUGGAGCCAAGCGCCGCCUCCCCUCACGGCUGCCCCCCGGCCCAGGCUGAGCCCCAAACUCUCCUUGGCCCCUCGAAGGGAAUGAGGACUUCCACGUGGCCGAGCGGGGGCCCCAAAGGUCCUUCUUUGGGCUGGCCGCCCACCUGUGCCACCCUGCCCUCUGGGAAAGACCAGGUCACGUGCCACGUGAGCCUGUGUGACCGGCGUGCAAACCCAGGCUCCGAGGCCCCUCACCGGCCCCUCGGGCCGCCCGGGGGCGAGGCGUGGGGGGGCCUGGGCUCCCGUCACUUGUGUCCUGUUGGGAGGAGGUCCUGGCGGGCGGGGGCCAGCAAGCCACCACACCACUUAGGAACCGGGAGCCGCAUGGGACCAGGGAAGGGGGGGGGUCUUGACUCAGCCGAGGCCGUCUUUGGGGGAGCCUGCUGGGGUGUGCUUAAGACGCGGGGGGCACCGUCCGCGCGGUGGAGAGCAUGCCAGGAGGGGGCUGCGCGGGUGGGGACGGCCCCACGCACCCUGGCCCCAGCGUCUGGAGGGCCCCAUUCCCGGGACCCCUGCGCCGCCCGGUCCCCGGCUCACGACGGGGCCCCCACGCUCUCUGCCCGGGCCGUGGAGGCUGCGACAGCGCCGCGGGGCCAGGCGGCCUGCAGGGGGAGCCAUUGGGCCGGCCCGAGCCUCCUCCAGCCUCGGCGGCGACCUUGUCCGAGCGGUCCGGCCCCACCUCCAGGCAGGGGGCGGGGGGCAUCCGGCGGCCACCUGCCCGGGCCGCCCGCCCAGCUGCCAGGGGCCGCCUGUCCCCUGUCCACCCCCCCUGUCCUGUGGACCCCCGUGCGCCACCUGGCUAGGCCCCCACAACUCCAGCCGCUGCAGGGGUGUCGGGCGAGGGCCGCCCAGAGAGGUCCCUGGGGGCGGAGCCUGUCACCCGCGGGCCCAGCCCCUUCCCUCCCCCCCACCCCCACCCCCACCCCC